CAAGAACCCCAGAGAAAGAACAACCAUCAGAGACCCACUUGUUCAUAUACUCAGGAAUCCCAUGAGAAUGAUAACUAAAGUCGAAUCCAUACUAUAUAUGCAGAGGACCUGGCACAGACCCAAUGCAGGCCCUGUGCUUGCUGCCUCAGUAUCUCUGUGUUCAUAUGAGCUUUGCUGAUGCUGACUUAGAGAGUCUUGUUUUCUUGGUAUCCUCCAUCUCUUCUGGCUCUUACACUCUUUCUGCCUUUUCUUGUUCUGGGCCGUGACAGGAGGAAGAAUGGAGGUCUCUCACAUCCUGUGCAGUGUCUGCCUGUGUGUCUCUAUACUCAGUCCCAUCUGCUGCAGGAGGAAGGAAGCCUCUUUGAUGAUGACCGAACAAGACACUAUCUGUCAGUAUAACAGAAUAUCAUUUGGAUUAAUUGUAUCACAGCAUUAUUUUUUUUUAGAACAGUAGUAUUUGGUUUUACUUUUGGUCUCUGGGCUAUCUAAUAUGUGGUUCUUGGUCACACAAGCAGUGUUGGAUAUGUUUUCAUCUUGUGAAGUGGGUCUUGGGUCAAAUCAGAUAAUGGUUGGUUACUCCCAAAGCUCUGCACCACCCCUAGGACAGGCGUUUUCAGUCUUCCUAAUGCUGUGACCCUUUAAUACAGUUCCUUAUGUUGUGGCGACCGGAGGCUAUAAAAUUGUUUCAUUAUAACUGCAAUUUUUGCUACUGUUACAAAUUGUAAUAUAAAUAUCUGAUACUUGGGGCUGGAGAGAUGGCUCAGUGGUUAAGAGCACUGACUGCUUUUCCAAAGGUCCUGAGUUCAAAUCCCAGCAACCAUCUAUAAUGGGAUCUGACACCCUCUUCUGGUGUGUCUGAAGACUACAACAGUGUACUCACAUAUAUAAAAUAAAUAAAUCUUUUAUUAAAACAAUUUUUAAUACUUGACCCCCAAAUGGUCACAACCAACAUGGGUUGAGAACUGGUGUCCUAGGAUUGUGGCUGGCUGGUGUUUACAUUUUUCUUUUGGUACCAUGCAGAGUACCAAAAACAAUGCUAGAACAUAUGGGAGAAGGCUCUAUGUAGGUACCAGCUCAAUGUCUACAUAUUCAGUAAAUUGUGUAGGUGUUGUCUUUUGAAAUGGGAACUUGCUAUCAGUUUGGGGAGAUUAACCUAUUGUCUUUGCUACAACCUGUGUUGUUCAGGAUUCCCAUAGGAAUCCUUUGGUUAACGAUUCAAUUAGGUGUAACCCAAUACCCAUCGUGGAAGCUUGACAAGAGAUGGCCAGUUGGGGCUCUGUCUUUCUCAUUAUUUGGCAAUUUGAUUUAGGUUACUUCCUAUAUGUGUAUAUUUUAGGAAGUUUCUUCUGUGUUGGGUUCCUAUAACAUUCCUCAAAUGCCCCUUACUUUUAGCUGUCUCUCCCUGUAUUAUCUCCCCCAACCCCCUUUCUUAUCUCCCUCCCCACUUUAUCCUGCCAUUCCAUCCACUUAUCCAUCCAUAACUAUUUAUUCUAUUCCCAUUUCCUAACAAGCUCUAUCUCUACCCUCUGGUCCCUUACUGUGUGCUUACCCAUUGUGGUCCUAAAGAUUUUAAGUGGUUAGCAUUGAUAUAACAGCUAAUGUCCACAUAUAAGUGGGAAUGCACCAACCAUGUUUGUCUUUCUAGGUCGGGGAUGCCUUUUUAUCUAGUUUCAUCCAUUUGUCUGCAAAUUUCAUGAUGAUUUUUUUUUAAACAGCUGAAUAAAACCCUUU
rnacentral:lncRNA from 1 species